UUCAGUAUCAAUUAUAAUUCCUUAUUUCAAUCAGUUUCACAGUAUUGCAGUAAUUCAUUACUUCAGUAAUAUCACAGUUCAAUGCAGUACACAUAACAAUAUUCAGUAAUUUCACAAUUCAAUUCAGUACUCAAAUACAACAUUCAGUAUUUCAUAAUUCAGUUCAGUAUCAGUCUCACAUAUCAAUUUCCACUUUCUCAAUUCAACUCCAAUAAAAUCCAUAUCAAUCACCAAUUUCAAUAUUCCAGUUCAAUACCACAAUAGUUCAAUAAUUCAAUUCAAACCAUUUCAAUUUCUAUUCAAUAAUCACAUUUCAAUUUCACUUAAUUCACAAUUUCUCAUGUUCACAAUUCAAAUCAAAUUUUCAAUCUAAUAUUCAUUUCAAUACCACAUUAAUUCUUUUAAUUUAUAUCAUAUCACUAGUAAUUUUCAUUCAAUUCACAUUUAAUUCAAUAUUGAUAUUCACCUUAUUUUUAUUUACUAAACAUAUUAUUCAAAAUUCAACAAUAGCUAUUAAUAAAUUCAAUACCAAUACGUAUUUAUCAUUCAAUUCAAUCAUGAUACUUACCUCAAUUUGCUUAUCAUGUAUAUUAAUUUAAAUUUUAACAAUUAAUAAUUAAAUUUGAAUUAUGGUAAUAGUAAUUGAAAUUUCUCUCGAGUCACUUCUUGUCCACCUUUUUCUUUCCUUGCUCGGACAAUGACUCUUGCACGAUAUUAGCUACGUAAUUAAACAAUUAAAAAUCAUUAAUACACAAUUUCAUCAAAAUAUUUCCAUUUAUACCUAAACUUUACCUAAAUUCUAAUUAAUCCCUUAUCAAUACUAAUUUUAUUUUCCCAAUCUAAUUCUAUAUUCUCUCUUAAUUCUUACUAUAAACUCAUUUUAAUUAUUCAUUUUCACCAUAAAUCCCUAAUUUCGAGAUUCUUUCAAUUUAGUCCCUACUAUUCAAAAUUUACACUUUAUUUUACAAUUAAAUCCUUUACUAACUUCUAACUUUAAAUUAAAUCAAUUUAACCCCUAAUUCAUCAUCUUUCCCAACAUGAACCAUGUCUAAAAAAAUAUAAUAUCUUACAAAAUUUCAGCAUAAAAUAAUACUUUGUUCUACGAUUCCAAAAACAUCAAAACUAAGAGAAAAUGGAUUAAAUUAACUUACCAAAUUAACUUUGAACCUUGAAACCCCAAAUUUCCCUUUUUCUUUUUCUUUCUUUCUUUCUCCCAUGUUUCUUCUCUGUUUCGUCCAUGCUUAAUGUUCU
rnacentral:lncRNA from 1 species